UAGCCCUAGCAGCAAAUGCAAAUGUAAUUUGCUGCCGCUAGGGGUGCGUCUAGAUUUCUAGGCUAUCCAACUGUCUGAAAUGCCAAAAACCCUGAGGCUUUUUUCUGAUCCUGCUAAGAUCAGGGAUUACAUGGCGAAAUAUGUGAUGCGCUACUCCUUGAGGCCCGGCUCCAGUGGCAACAGGAGAGACGGCCUGGACACCACGCCAGGUGCUCGCUGGAGUCAGGGCAAAACUAACAAGGCCUGUACUCCUAGAUGCCAAACUCUCGGCACAGAGAACAUCAACAGAAACGUGCCAGAAAUGCCUUGCAGGGAAGGCAGUUAUUCGGUGCCUGGAGUGCGUCCCACUAGACUUUGAGUACCUCUGUGGCAAGUGUGACAGAGAGGUUCACAUUAGGCAUGUCUUCCAUGACAGGGUGGCAAUAUUCCAUGGCUACCUUGAGCCUAUUCCCAAUACAAAGGCAGUGGUGGUGGAUGGGAAUGGCCAGCCUCACUUUUGUGAACAGGUACACCAGUUGCCUUUGCCUACCCAAAGUGUAAUUUGUGGGUGCACUGAAGAGGCUGAAGUCAGCACUGGGAGGCAUAUUGCAGUGGUGAAUGGACGAUAUGAGAUGUGUUUGCCCCUAAAGUUCUGCUCUACCUGCAAGAAAGAAUGGACUCCAGGGGUAAAGGACCUCCUACGCUAUAAUUACUGGCCAAGCACUGCCAACUGCCUGACUGUAUAUUCAUCUGACGUAUUUGAAGUGUUUUCCAAUUUAAAGUUGUCAGCUACCUCCUUCUCAAGGCAUGCUUUUUUAAAGCUUCUGGAGCACCAGUCUGUUCAAAAAGGAAGGACAUGUUUCAGAGGAGUUACUUCGAAUACUGCUUAUGCAAGCACACCGAGGACACAAUGUCUGAAGUUGACCCUUUUUGCUGUCCAGCCUGUCAACCUGAUAUGUUGGCCGUAUGCUGUGAUGGCAACCGGAAACAUUAUCCAAAAAUCAAAGGGAACGGAGGAACCGUCUUUAUAUGAGGGCUUGUUUAUAGCAAAAGACGAGGAUCAAGAGCCAAUGACAGUGGGUCAUGUGGGGUCUCAAGAUUCAAGGCAUGUAAGGAGGCAUCCAACAAAUCUACCUCCAAAAGCAAUGAAGAGGGUUUGCAGGUGGCAGUCUGCAGACACGGGAUAUUAUUGCGGGGACUGAACCACUAUCAUGGGGAAAUAUUUGCAUAUCCUAUGUUUUUGCAAAAAGAAUUGGGAGAGAGGGCAAACAUUACGUUCUUCUGCAUGGACGUUGUCUGCAGGUAAUUUGUCUUUGUCAACCUUACUGCAUAUUAAAUGACAAGUAGCUCAGUAUUUAAGUCAGGAUUGUUGUUUUAGAUUGUUCCAGCAAAAUAUGUGUA